AUUUGAAGAACAGGUCGUGGAUCAUCACAGAGAAGCUGAAGCCACUGGUUGUUAACAUUGACUUCAGACGCAACAACCAGACUGUCUUUAAAUCAACUAAUUUUGCAGGAUAUGUGGGCAUGCUGACCGGGAUUCAUCCACGCUCAUUCACCCUCACUAUGAAUGAACGAUUCACUCUGGAUGGAGGCUACAUCGGGAUUCUGGAGUGGAUCUUGGGGAAGAGAGACGGCAUGUGGAU